rnacentral:rRNA from 1 species
ACGGGAGGCAGCAGUGGGGAAUAUUGCACAAUGGGCGCAAGCCUGAUGCAGCGACGCCGCGUGAGGGAUGACGGCCUUCGGGUUGUAAACCUCUUUCGACUCUGACGAAGCCUUCGGGUGACGGUAGGGGGAGAAGAAGCGCCGGCCAACUACGUGCCAGCAGCCGCGGUAAGACGUAGGGCGCGAGCGUUGUCCGGAUUUAUUGGGCGUAAAGAGCUCGUAGGCGGCUCGUUGCGUCGGCUGUGAAAACCCGCAGCUCAACUGUGGGCUGGCAGCCGAUACGGGCGGGCUGGAGUUCGGUAGGGGAGACUGGAAUUCCUGGUGUAGCGGUGAAAUGCGCAGAUAUCAGGAGGAACACCGGUGGCGAAGGCGGGUCUCUGGGCCGAUACUGACGCUGAGGAGCGAAAGCGUGGGGAGCGAACAGGAUUAGAUACCCUGGUA